UUUUAGUAGAGAAGGGGUUUCACCAUGUUUGCCAGGAUGGUCUCGAUCUCCUGACCUCGUGAUCCGCCCGCCUCGGUCUUUCAAAGGGCCAGGAUUACAGGCGUGAGUCACCGCGCCUGGCUAAUUUUGUAUUUUUAGUAAAGACGGGGUUUCUCCAUGUUGGUCAGGCUGGUCUCGAACUUCCGACCUCAAGUGAUCCACCUGCCUCAGCCUCCCAAAGUGCUGGGAUUACAGGCAUAAGCCACCUCUCCUGGCCAUUUUUUUUUUUUUUAAAUAGAGACAUGGUCUUAGUAUAUUGUCUGGGCUGGUCUCAAACUCCUGGGCUAAAGCAAUCCUCCUGCCUCGGCCUCCCAGAGUUCUGGGAUUACAGGCGUGAGCCACUGUUUUUAAGGCUGGGCACUAAUUUUGAGACGGAGUCCUGCUCUGUCGCCCAGGCUUGAGUGCAGUAGCACGAUCUCGGCUCACUGCAA
rnacentral:lncRNA from 10 species